GACGAACGCUGGCGGCGUGCUUAACACAUGCAAGUCGAACGUGAUUUUUGUGGAAAUUCUUUCGGGAAGGGAAAUGAAAUGAAAGUGGCGAACGGGUGAGUAACACGUGAGCAACCUACCUUACACAGGGGGAUAGCCGUUGGAAACGACGAUUAAUACCGCAUGAGACCACAGAAUCGCAUGAUAUAGGGGUCAAAGAUUUAUCGGUGUAAGAAGGGCUCGCGUCUGAUUAGCUAGUUGGAAGGGUAAAGGCCUACCAAGGCGACGAUCAGUAGCCGGUCUGAGAGGAUGAACGGCCACAUUGGAACUGAGACACGGUCCAAACUCCUACGGGAGGCAGCAGUGGGGAAUAUUGCACAAUGGGGGGAACCCUGAUGCAGCGACGCCGCGUGAGCGAAGAAGGUUUUCGAAUCGUAAAGCUCUGUCCUAUGAGAAGAUAAUGACGGUUUCAUAGGAGGAAGCCCCGGCUAAAUACGUGCCAGCAGCCGCGGUAAUACGUAUGGGGCGAGCGUUGUCCGGAAUUUUUGGGGCUUAAGGGUACGUAGGCGGUUUUUUUAAGUCAGGUGUGAAAGCGUGAGGCUUAACCUCAUUAAGUACUUGAAAUUGGAAGACUUGAUUGAAGGAGAGGAGAGUGUAAUUCCUAGUGUGCGUUGAGAUGCGUGGAUAUUAUGAUGAAACCGGGGCGUGGCGUAGUGUCUGGACGUUGACUGCUGCUGUGUCUGAGUGUGUGUGACAUGUGUG
rnacentral:rRNA from 1 species